AAAAAGGGUGUCUACCGCUUACAUGGUACUUGGGCCACUGGUCCUCGGGGUAUGGCCAUCAAUACAUACUCGACACAUAAUUUUUGAAAUCGCGGGCAGUUGGUCACCAAUGCGUGCCGGCGCCUGC